rnacentral:rRNA from 1 species
CAGGCCUAACACAUGCAAGUCGAGCGGUAACAGGUGUAGCAAUACAUGCUGACGAGCGGCGAACGGGUGAGUAAUACUUUGGAAUCUUCCCAGUAGUGGGGAAUAACCAGUCGAAAGAUUGGCUAAUACCGCAUACGUCCCUAGUUUGAAAGAAUUGGGGGGAAAGCGGGGGCUCGCAAGACCUCGCGCUAUUGGAUGAGCCAAAGUCGGAUUAGCUAGUUGGUGGGGUAAUGGCCUACCAAGGCGACAAUCCGUAGCUGGUCUGAGAGGACGACCAGCCACACCGGAACUGAGACACGGUCCGGACUCCUACGGGAGGCAGCAGUGGGGAAUAUUGGACAAUGGGGGAAACCCUGAUCCAGCGACGCCGCGUGUGUGAAGAAGGCCUGCGGGUUGUAAAGCCCUUUCGGCGGGGAAGAUAAUGACGGUACCCGCAGAAGAAGCCCCGGCUAACUUCGUGCCAGCAGCCGCGGUAAUAC